rnacentral:rRNA from 1 species
CAAUACAAACAUUAUGUGUGUACUCUCCUGUUGUCCGGUUAGCCGGGCAUUGGAGCGGUGCUAUGUCUUAACAAUAAACGACUCUCGGCAACGGAUAUCUAGGCUCUCGCAUCGAUGAAGAACGUAGCGAAAUGCGAUACUUGGUGUGAAUUGCAGAAUCCCGUGAACCAUCGAGUUUUUGAACGCAAGUUGCGCCCGAAGCCUCUGGCUUAGGGCACGUCUGCCUGGGCGUCACGCAUCGCGUCUCCCCCAAAUCCACCCGAGUGGAGGGGAAGGAGGAUGGUCUCCCGUGACUCACCGGUCGCGGCUGGCCUAAAAUUGGAGCCCUCGGCAUCGGGAUGUCGUGGCGAUAGGUGGUGAGAAGGCCUUGGCCAAGCAAGCAACCCGCCGCGCGUCACCAUGCCAACGUGAGCUCGAAGGACCCUUUAAGUUGUCUAACGGCAUCCUAACUAUUGCG